AGGACGAACGCUGGCGGCGUGCUUAACACAUGCAAGUCGAGCGGAAAGGCCCUUCGGGGUACUCGAGCGGCGAACGGGUGAGUAACACGUGAGCAACCUGCCCUUAGCUCUGGGAUAGCUCCGGGAAACCGGAAUUAAUACCGGAUACGACCUAGGCCGACAUCGGCCAUGGUGGAAAGUUUUUCGGCUGGGGAUGGACUCGCGGCCUAUCAGCUAGUUGGUGGGGUAAAAGGCCUACCAAGGCGACGACGGGUAG
rnacentral:rRNA from 1 species